rnacentral:rRNA from 1 species
AUCUGCAAUUACUUCCAGGCUGCUGCACCAGGCAUGUCCAGGCAUCCAAAAAAGGACGCCUGGGACCAGGCUAAUCAUCUUGCCUCGUUUUCCACCAGGCUAACUAGGCUGUUUCGUUGUCCAGGCCAGGCGUACUUCCUCUUUUCGUGGACAUCAACCAAACAUGCAGCAGGAAAUUCCAGGCAGCCCCCAGGCCAGGCGUCACCCGCUGUGGACACGAAUCAAACUGCCCCUCGCUCUUCGAAACAGUACUGCUCAGAUUGUUGACCUAUACGACCACAACAUAGUAGUCUCUACGGAAUCUAUUGCCUUCAACGUUACCAUGAAACCAGGUAACAGCCCCUACAUCAUGUCCUGGGAAACCCCUGCUAAUAGUAGUGCUACCAUUAGUAAAUACAACGAUUUAGUCGUCGUUGGCUGCGAUGUCGAGGUCUACUUGUUUGAUCAUGUAACGAAUCACACCAUUGGUUCUUGCAUGAGUGUAUGCAACGACGAUCUGGCCAUCAUGGAGAAAGAAGCCUCUGGGCAAUGCAGUGGCAUCGGCUGUUGCUCUAUCGCAAUUAAAAGGGAGCUGCGAGGCUUUCGGUUAACACUUGUCCGCUCAGAUGACAUCAAGCCGCAGCAAGAUCCAGUGCACCUUCAUGUCAAGGCUUUCUUGUGGCGAGAUUAUCUGUUUCAAACCAGUGAUAUCUCUUCAAGAUGGAUAAAUAUAAGCAAUCUUUACGAUCAGCCCUUACUCCAGGGUGCUGUCACGGACCAACCAAACUGUCAAAGUGCAUUAAGGAAUUAUGCUACUUAUGCUUGUGACACCAAUAGCCACUGUGAUUCAGCAGAAGAUGGAUACCGCUGUUACUGUUCUGGUGAAAGCCAUGUAGAUCCAAUCCUUACAUUCACAAUGGCUGCCGUGGUGGUUAUAAUCCUAAUCCUAGAAGAGGAUGUAAAAGAUUAUGUGGAAACACAAUUAUCCCCUUCCCUUUUGGGGUUGAGAAAGGUUGCUAUGCUCAUGUGAAGUUUCGACUAAAUUGUACAUCACAGAAUUUGACAGUCCUCGAUCGAGACACAGUAAAGUAUCUUGUGGCCAAUGUUUCAGUGAACGAUGGAUAUAUUAGUGUUGCAAACACAAAAAACAGUUUAAAUUCUAACAACGAGGAGAUUAGAAUAGUUAUUCCAGGAGAUGAUGAUUACUCAUACAAAGAAGACGACCCUCUGAGUGAUCUUUUUGAUUUAUCUGGAGAAUACGAUAUGAAGAUGUGGUGGCCGUCACAAAUUUAACCUGUCCGAUGGCUAUGGGCAUGCAAUACAGGGAUAUGUAUGCUUGCCGCAGUUUUAACAGCACUUGCCUCAACGUUACCCAUGGGAAUGGGACGAUGCAUCUUGGCUAUCGUUGCAAGUGCUCUAAAGGCUUUGCAGGAAAUCCCUACGUACCUGAUGGCUGCACAGAUGUUAACGAGUGUCUGUUGACAAAUAUUUGCAAUGGCACAUGCCAAAAUUACCCUGGAGGAUAUAGUUGCGAAAACUGCAGUCAUGGAAAAGAGUUUGAUCCAAGAAAAGGGAGAUGUGUCACGUCAACGAAGAGACGCAGUCUUCUUUUAGGUAUUGCAAUUGGAAUUGGUUGUGGCCUUGCUGCCAUAAUCCUUGUGCUAUGUGCAACCGUACUCGUCCGCAAGUGGAAGAGAGGCAUACAAAAGCGAACUCGAAGGGCAUACUUUAGGAAAAACCAAGGCCUACUCUUGGAACAACUAAUAUUGGAUGAAAGUGCCACAGAUAACACAAAGAUAUUCCCCUUGGAUGAACUAGAUAAGGCAACUAACAACUUUGAUGCCAGUCGUGUUCUUGGUCGUGGAGGACAUGGCACAGUUUACAAAGGUAUUCUAUCCGAUCAACGUGUCGUGGCAAUUAAGAAGUCCAAGCUAGUGGAGCAAACUGAGAUUGACCAGUUUAUCAACGAGGUUGCCAUCCUGUCACAAAUCAUUCAUCGCAAUGUGGUGAAACUUUUUGGUUGUUGUCUUGAAACAGAGGUGCCUUUGCUGGUCUAUGAGUUUAUAUCCAAUGGCACACUAUAUGAUCUUCUUCACGUUGAUGCAAGUGCUAAAUGCUUGCUUUCGUGGGAUGAUCGUAUUAGGAUUGCGGUAGAAGCUGCAGGUGCUCUUGCUUAUCUCCACUCAGCUGCUGCAAUACCAAUUUUCCAUAGAGAUGUCAAAUCAUCCAAUAUACUCCUAGAUGACAACUUUACUACCAAGGUUUCUGACUUUGGUGCCUCGAGAUCUUUAUCACUUGAUCAGACACAUGUAGUGACAAUUGUGCAAGGCACAUUUGGUUACUUAGACCCUGAGUACUACCAUACUGGCGAACUGAAUGAGAAGAGUGAUGUUUAUAGUUUUGGAGUUAUACUAGUAGAGCUUCUAAUAAGAAAGAAGCCAAUUUUUAUUAAUGACCAAGGUACAAAACAAAGCUUGGCUCGUUACUUUAUGGAAGGACUUCAGCAGGGAGUUCUCAUGGAAAUCAUGGAUGCUCAAGUUGCGGAAGAAGCAAACCAGAAUGAAAUUGAUGAUACUGCCUCAAUCGCAAAAGCAUGCUUGAAUGCCAAAGGAAGAGAAAGACCAACCAUGAAAGAGGUAGAAAUGAAGUUGCAAUUCCUUAGAACUACAAGAUUAAGGAGUCAACUUCCCCAUAAAAAUGAUGGAGAUAUCAAGUCAUUUUUGUGCCCUGACAGCAGUAGCUCUCAUGCACAGAGCAACAAUGGUUUAACACCGACAAGCAUAUCUGGAAGGUAUAGUUUAGAGCAAGAAAUUUUGUCCUUCGCCAGUUUGCCGCGCUAA